rnacentral:rRNA from 1 species
AUUGAACGCUGGCGGCAUGCCUUACACAUGCAAGUCGAACGGCAGCACGUGUGCUUGCACCUGGUGGCGAGUGGCGAACGGGUGAGUAAUACAUCGGAACAUGUCCUGUAGUGGGGGAUAGCCCGGCGAAAGCCGGAUUAAUACCGCAUACGAUCUACGGAUGAAAGCGGGGGACCUUCGGGCCUCGCGCUAUAGGGUUGGCCGAUGGCUGAUUAGCUAGUUGGUGGGGUAAAGGCCUACCAAGGCGACGAUCAGUAGCUGGUCUGAGAGGACGACCAGCCACACUGGGACUGAGACACGGCCCAGACUCCUACGGGAGGCAGCAGUGGGGAAUUUUGGACAAUGGGCGAAAGCCUGAUCCAGCAAUGCCGCGUGUGUGAAGAAGGCCUUCGGGUUGUAAAGCACUUUUGUCCGGAAAGAAAUCCUUGGCCCUAAUACGGUCGGGGGAUGACGGUACCGGAAGAAUAAGCACCGGCUAACUACGUG